GCAGAAAGAACCCUGGGCCUCAUGCGUCUUAUGAUUCCCAUGAGAAGGCUGGAGUCUGGGUGUUCUGCAGAAUAAAAGGAGUCAAAGAGAGCUGCGGAUGGGCCUCAGGCCCCCUACCAAGGAGAGAGGAGGCUGGAGCUCCCAGCCAGCCCUUGACAGACCCAUCUCCAUUACAGUCACAUCCCAGCUCUGCCUGUCCCCCUCUAUCCCACGUCUAAGGGGCCCAGAACUGGAGUUAUAAUGAGCAGCCUGCUUCUCAUAACCCUCCUUCUGCGGGUGCCAUAGACGGGCCUGGGGGGCAGCAUGCCUUCCGGUAGUGGAGGGCACCAGUUAAAGAUGCUAGGCCUGGGUUCAGCGGGUUGAGGCUUUGAGGAGGCGGAACGGGCGCCUGGGUGGAAAGUGGUUGCCAGGUGUGAGUGGCACUGUGGGGCCAUUGCCCGGUUUUGCUGCCCCCGCUUCCUGAAGUGGUGUCCUAUUUGUAUACUGCCCUUUUACCCGG
rnacentral:lncRNA from 1 species